UGUUCACACGACGUUCCCAUUUUCAUCAUCUUCCCUCUUCCGCUCUUCGGCUCUUCCUUCUACGGCACACCAGAGGAAAAAAAAGGGGUAAAACAAGGAAUCUGCUGCAGCAGUGAUGGUGGUGGCGGAGGUGGUUCCCGGCAGCCGUUGCAGCGCCGGUCCCGAGCAGCCAGCGGCCGCCGUUGCCCCUGUCGGAGCCACCCCUCGCCAUGACGGUCUCCAAGGUGCACGGCCACCAGCGACAUGCUCAUCCGCCCGGAGCUCCAUGCUGGGCCAAGAACAUGGAGAGCCAUCUGCAACCGCGACCCCGGGGAAUCAAAAGAUGUUGUGAAGGUGCUAAAAAAAUGAAUUGGACACAAAAAUCCAAAUGUCCACCUCCUUGCACUUACAGAAUGACUCAAAUGCUGGACUGUAACAAUGGGUCACCACUGGUGAAGCAGGCAUCGAAAAGAUUGCAGUUUUGUUGCAUUGGGGUCUACAUUUGCCGGUGAUUGUUGCUGGUUUGGAGGGGGGUGCGUGGUGAUGGAGAUGGGACAUUUGUGAGCAGGUUAUGGGAUUUGGUUUUGUUCUUAUGGAGAGGCUGUGUUGCAGCGUUGUAUUAACACUAGUCGUAUCGAGGAAAUGUAAGUUUAUAUUUUAUCAUGACAAGAAGGUGAACCUGUGUAAACUUGUAUAUGUAUUCAGUUUAAUAUAUUCUAAAGUUAGCCCACCA